ACCUUUGAAUUUGUAUGGUAUUGGAAACCGAAUCAUUUCACUCAUAUGGGCAGUUAGUGGGAAACGAUUUUAUAUCAUACUGAGUGAUGUAUUUAAUUCAAUUGAUAUUGUGGGAUAAGAUGGUUCAUUUUAUUACUUUUGCUUUGGGAGUUUUAAUGCUUUUUAUGUUUUGCUCUGUCAAGUAGCUAAGAUUUUUGGGAAGUGAUUUUUAUAAAAUAGUAAUUUUAGAGUAGUAAUUCAUAGUGCCAUUUGGAAUUGUUUUGCCAUCUGAUAAUUAUCUGGUUUUAAACUUGCUUGAGAGCUGAAAUUCUGCACUAUCCUACAAUGAUAGUUUGAUGAACAUAGGUAGUAAGAGUUGAUUUUGUGGUAAUAAUGUUUAAAGGCUUAUUAUUAUGCUAGUGUUAUUUGUGUAUUUUGAGAAGGUGACAAAAAUGGCUUAAUGCUAGAAUAGUUGUACAGCUGUAUGUUAGUUGCUUAGUUGUUUUUCUCAUUUGUGUUCGUCCAUCUGUUUUGAUUGAUCUUGACCUUCUUCUGUAUAGGAUUAUGCUGUUUUAUUGGCAAGAAUAGAGAGUCAUGGUUCUUGGGAAGUAUAAUGUUAAUAUCAUUUUGUAAUGCUCUAAACUCUUGUAUAUACCAAAGAUUUAGCUUAACUUUGCAUAUUAUGAAUGUUAGAUUAGAUUGCUAUUGAAUUUUAUUGUACUUGCAUCUACAAGGAAUAUGGUCCAUUAAUAAUAUAUAAUCUAUUUGAUGUUGUAUCUGUCUAGACUAUAUUUGUAUAUUGCUAUAAAUAAUAAUUUUUUCUGCUUCUAUUUUUGCAGGAAAAUCUCCAUGAAGACUUGCUAAUUAAAAACCAAAAUGUGUAAAAUACAACUAUUUCAUCCAUCCAUUUAUAUGUUUAAUCCUAACCGUCUGAUCAAAAUCCAUAAAAUCCCUCAACCUGUUCUCCCCGUAUUCCUGAAACCAUCAACCACUGCAACAAUCACAACGUCCAGUAUUGCUACUCGAUUUUCGGGCUCCGGCGAGUUGAACUAGCACCAUCAAUCACCUCAACCAAUUAAAGUAACACUUCUCUACUACGUGGCCUCUAAUUUUUUUUUUCUUCCUUCCUUUGUCUUUGAAGCCUGUUCCUCCAAACCCCUCUCAAAUUUUCCAAUAUUCACUCUUCUAUGGUGGUUCAGGUCCGCUUCUACGUCUCCCUAACUAUGGCAUAGGCCUUCAAAGUUUCAGGUUUUCCCCCAUUUUUCUGAUCUGCUGUGUUCAUUAUAGUUGCCUUCUGCUAUUUAGCUCCUUUGUAUAAACUGAGUGAGCCAGCAACUUGAGCUGCUUCACUCUUUCAAAGGCAAUUCAACUUUAAUGUGUGUAUAUAAUGCUAUCAAUUUGUUGUGCAAAAGAAAUUUCUUCAUGGGUGCAACUGGAUUUUACAAGGUAGCAAGGAGGAACAAAUCAAUCUUGAGCAGCAAAUCUUACUAUUGGACCAUAAGAAGGCUUUUUGGUGAAGGGAAAUUUCAGGAAAGUCAGCCCUUUUUGUGUAGCUUUAUAAAAGAAGAUGGCCUUUUUGAACCUAAAGUCAGUAGGAUACUACUGCAUUACCUGUGUUUGAAGGAUGUUAAUAGUGCUCUUUAUUUUCUCAACAAGAUUAAGGAGAAUGAUGUAGCUAUCACUCUUCCAAUCAGCGCUUUAAGAGCACUUACAAAAAUUGGAUGUGUUUUAACUGCAUACAGACUUGUUGUUGGUGCUAAAGAUGAUCUACCUGUUAUGGAUGUGGUUGAUUAUUCUAUCAUGGUUGAUGGACUUUGCAAGAUUGGACAUCCUAUUAAGGCAUUAAAGCUUUGUACUUUGGCUGAAUUGAAGGGGAUUGUUCUUAAUAUAAUCACUUAUAAUUCUGUUAUAAAUGGGUUGUGCAACCAGGGAUGUUUUGUUGAAGCAUUUCGUCUAUUCGAUUCAUUAGAAAGAAUUGACUUGGCUCCUUCAGAAAUCACUUAUUCAAUACUGAUUGACAAUUUAUGUAAAGAAGGAUGUUUGCAGGAUGCUAAGCAAUUAUUUGAGAGGAUGAUUCUUAGAGGCUAUGAAGCGAAUAUACGUAUCUAUAAUUCAUUUCUUAAUGGUUAUUGCAAUUUUGGUCAGUUUGAAGAGGCCUUGGGGAUUCUGAAAAAUAUUCAAAUAGAACAUCUUGAUCCUGAUGAAUUUACUAUUAGCUCUAUGAUUAAUGGUUAUUGUCAGAAGGGUGACUUAGAGGGCGCUCUAAACUUCUUUAUCGAGUGUAAUCAGAAAGGUACUUCUCCUGAUUUAUUGGGUUUCUUGCAGUUGAUGAGAGGUCUAUGUGCCAAGGGGAGGAUGGAAGAGGCAAGGAGCAUCUUAAGAGAAAUGCUUCAAUCAAAAUCUGUGAUGGAGAUGUUGAACAAAGUCAAUACUGGGGUUGAAACAGAGUCUAUGCAGAGUUUUCUUAUUUUUUUGUGCCAGCAAGGAAGUAUCAAAGAAGCAGUUACUGUACUUAAUGAAGUUGUAUCUAUGUUUUUUCCAGUUCAGAAGUGUGGUCCUUGUGAAUCGCAAAAACUGGAAACACUUCCUGAAUCAGAAGCUUUUAAUAUAUUUGCUUCAAGAACAAUAUCACAAGAGGGAAAUGAGUUUGAUGUUUUAGAUUGUUAUAUAAGGGAAGACGAUAAAAUGGUUGAGAAAAAUGAUGAGUUCGGGAGAUCUGAAAUAGAAUUCUUUGACUCUUACUAUUCCUUAAUCGCUUCACUCUGCUCAAGAGGGAAGAUGUCAGAAGCCAACAGACUAGCAAAGGAGAUACUUUCUUUUGCCUUGUCCUAAUUGGCGCUACUCUCCCUUUAAUGUGGGGCAUGAAUCCAUGCUUUUGCCAUUGAAGUGCAUUUCAACUCAUCAAAGCACUUUGUGGCACUUUUCUUUAUGUAAGUUUAUUGGAGCUUUUUAAUUCACUUUUCUAUAAUUGUAGAACUUGUGUAAUCCUUUUUUGUCUUUAUUUGCUUUGCUGUAAGGACUGAAAUUAAGCAACUCUUCUGUCUUUAUGCAGGAGCUUUUAUAAAUGUCACAAAUGAGUUUUGUCAAUGUCCAGUCAAAGAACUCCUUAGAUGCCUAAGGUCCAUUGGUAUGUUUAAAAGCAUCACUGAAUCUUUUGCUUCUUAUCUUUUAAUGGUUGCUUCUGCAUAAAAUAUUUAUAUUUUCAAUGGAUUCACCUUUCUCUUAUAAAUUGAGAAUAGGGCUUAAUUUCACCCAUGGUUAUUGAACUUAUCACUUCAUUGAACUUUGAUUGUGUUUGUAAAAUAUUCACUGGUUUUUGUUUCAAUUUUGUCUCUAUUUCUAAAAUUUUUAUAGAGAUUUAGCCGUCCUUUUAUGUGCUAACUAAACAAGAAAAUCUCAUAUUUUGAUCUUAAUUAUAAAUCUAGGUUGGAGAAGUUUCUAUUAGUUAACAAUAGUGACCUCCAAAACUUCCUCCUACGUAUAGUGUAAAGCAAUACAUAACCAGCAAGUGGCUUAAAAACAGUCACGAAACUUUCAGCAGAUUAAGACUAAAAGUUUAGUAAGACUAAAUGUCCCUGGUCUGGAGUAACUGACAAGUUAAUUUGUUUCUUUGCUUUCCCUUUUCUCUUUUAACUUAUCCUCAAGAGGGAGAAAAUGGAAUAGAGAAAAUAGGUCAAGAAGAAAUAUGCCUUGAUAACAAUCAUCAAGUCUCUUGCCUUUAGAAAGAAAUAGGUAGCCAAGUUCCAACAUACCAAGGAUAUGAGCUGCAAUUCAUUCUGCUUUCUCCCCACUUUGAUUUCUUUUGCAUCAUAUGUGCAAUUUGGGCCUUCUUUGUGAAGUCGUCCCUCAAUUACUCCACCAUGCCCUGUAAAACAAAAUUGUUUUGUGCUUCAACUAAAUAUUAUACAAAUAACUUUAUGAUAAAUUCUUUACAAAUUAAAAAAAAAAUUCAUCUUGCCAAAUGCUGACGUGUUAGUGUUAGAGAGAAACAAAUCAGUUUCAAGAUUUCACAAGAAUUGGGUAUUUAGUGUAAUUUUAUCAUGUACAGAUGUCCAGCUGAAAAGGAAUUUCAUAUUGAACAGACUAAGAAUUUGAGAAAUUAAAGGAGCGGGACAGGAGAGUCUACUUUCUACUGGAUGGUAAAAACUAGGAUCACGAAAAGAAGGGGGCAUAAAUAGUGCACAGCUAUUUCCGGCAAAUGAUCAUAUUUGGCUCAGAUUUUCAAUUUUGCAUUUUCUUAUACAGGGACCUCAUGCUAUGUUAAAAAUUAGAGGAACAUAUGAAAAAAAACUGUCAUUUGAUUGGCUAUAUCCCAAGUAAAAGAGGUAGCACGGAAUGAAUUCACACAAAGCGAACAUGCAGAGAGAUUCAAUACUGCCAAUUUUACUCGCUAGUUUCUGAUCCAUUGGCGAGCAGGUAUACAAAGUUUAAGCUUUAUUAUUAUGACUUUGAUCUUCAAGUUGCUUAUCAACAUGAUAAACCCACAAUCAAGCAAGCUUCUUUUUUUAUUGUUGCAACUGCUGAGAUAUUUCAUCUAUAUGUUCGGUGUUUUUUAUUAUCACUUGCAAGUCGCUUCCUUCUCUAUGGGUUAUACUGGAGCCUCCAAUUCACCAACAAGCGCAUAUGCACACCUCAGUUGUUCAUAAAUACUUUGUGAUAGAUCAUUAACUUGCUGCAUUAGAGUUGCCUUGGAAAAAAAAAAGCAGUGGAAGUGUCAGUGGAGAACUUACAUCCUCUUCAGAUCAUAUGUGCACAUAAGGAGAAAUUACCUUGAAUUUAUCUUUGUAGUUUACAGAAUGCAAAAACUCAAUAUUACUAAUGGAUUCUUAAAGUCAUUCUCUGGUGGUGCGGAACAUCUUCACAUGAUGCUAAUCAAGAUGGCAGAAAAAAAGGGGAUAAAAGAAAGCUAGAAGGGAGAACAAUAAUUAUUCCUAGGAAGUUCCAUUCAGGAUAUUCUUAGUUUUAACAAAAGCAGAGAUCAGUCUAACCACAUAUUGGAUGGAGUUCCACUUGUUUCAGAUGAUUUAGAAUAUCAAUUUGACCAUCAUCAAUAAUAAGUAUUAUAAAUUAGAUGAACAUAACUUUGCCUUAGAUUGGUUUUAUUUUGGGGCUGCAACACCACUGGAGGAAUAUUAAAAAGAAAAUGAAGGCAGUAAAUAGAUAUGCAUCGCAUAGCUCAUAAGGACGUGAUGAUGAUGAAACUGGUAGUUCCUAUUCUAUUAAAAUGAUAUGAAUUUCAAUUAGUUUAAUCUCCUUUUCUAAUGUUAAUUUCUUAGUGGAAACAUAAUUUUCAAUUGAAUGAAAAUACCUGUUUGCACUAAUUUUGCAUGGAAAGUCUGAGAAGGAAGUUCAUAGUGUGAGUAAUAUUAAUGGUAUAUAUCCACAGCUAGCUAAGACUUGCUUGAUUUAGUACCAAAGCUUGACAUACUCUAUUUGUGUUGUGUGUUCUAAGACUUGCUUGGUGGUGUGUUGCUCUAUUGAAUGUUUUGCAGUGUUAUAAUUUGAGUUUGGUCAUUGGUGUACUAAGACUUGUGUGUUUAUUAGGAAUUAUAAUUAUUUGCUUGCUUUUCUUUUUGUCUCCAUUACUUCUUACUAGAGUAAGGUUUUUCACUGUUCCUUAAAAAAAGAACAAAGAAAUAAAAGAUAUUUGGAUUUUACAUUGACCUGUGAAAGUCAACAGAGAAAUGGAGUGGUGAAUGGCCUUAGACAGGGAUAUCAAGAGCAAGGAAAGAAGGGUUAUACCUUAUAUUAAUAAUUAGGAUCAGCUUUAAUGUGUUAUUAAUGUCCUUUCCAUGUGGAGCCACUAAAGUGUUUAAUUGGUUGGUUGUAUUUACAUUUUAUGCUCCACUUUAAAUUUGGAGUAUAUAUAAAAGGACAGGUAUAAUAAUCCUCCAAAGUUUCCUAACUCCCUAAAUGAUCAUUUUAAGUAUGCUUAGAUGGAGUUUUUAAUGAAUCUUGAAGCAUUCAAACUAAAUAAAAAAAUAAUGGAACCUGAAUCUCCCCUAGAAAUCUCCCCCAUACUUCUUGAGUUUCUUACAAGAAAUGUUUGAUAGAAAAGGUUUAAAGCAGAUCUUCUCUAUUAGUUUAGUAGGUCUAAUAAUCAGUAACUACUUCCCUACCAAAGCUAAACCUUAGUAUUUUUGGCCUAAUUCAAUGGUUUACCUUCUUAAAGAAUCCCUCAUUCUUCUAUCCUCUAUAAAACUAAAACUAGAAUUUGAUCCCAGCUAUCACUAAAGCCAUCAAUUCCUUCACAAUGGCAAAUGGUUUUACCAUCCAACUGAUAGCUGCAGCAAGCCAGCCCACUCAAGUCAGCUUGGAGUCAUUGCUACAGUGAUACUAGUCCUAAUAGUUCUUGUGGGUCUAGCUGUCCAUUAAUUAUAGCACUUCUCAUUAAUUGCAGCAAUGAAGCCCAAUAAUUUAAAGGCUCUUUUAGUUUCUGCAGUUUGUUAGUUUUACUAUUUUGCUCGUGUUUUGGAGAAUAUUGUCAAAUUGCAUGUCAAGUUUAGUAGUAACAAUAUUGUUGUUGAGCAGUUUAUAAUCUAUUAAAUUUUACCCAGAAAUUUGAGCUAUUUUGUCACUAGGGGUAGUGGUUUGUGGGUUGCUCUUAACUUCAAACUUUUGAUUAAUUAAUAUAAUUAUUUUGUUAUUUAGUUUGAAACUUAGGAAAUUAUUACAGAUAUUUAUUCCUAUUUGAAAAUGUGAAGUUUAUUGGAUGAAGUGUUUUACCACUUUUUUUAAUUUUUAUUCUGUUGAAUGCUUGUUGUAAUACGACAAUGUAUACCAUAUUUUAGGACAUACAUUUUAUUUCAAUUUUCAAAUGUAAAAUCCAAACAAUUGUUGCAAUUACUACUUCUUUAGAGUUAAGAAAUAAGAUAUUAUUUUUAUUUCAAUUGUUGCAGUUACUACUUUUUUAAUUUAUGACUAUAAUUCUAUUAUAAAUUGUUUAAUACUUGCUGGAUUAUAUUUUUAUAUUUCAAUGAAGAUGUGAUUUACUGACUAAAAUAUAGACCAUCGGUUAGAGAAGAGCUAAUAUUUGCAAUUACUACUUUUUUGGUAGCUGCAGGUUGUAUAGACUUCAAUUAGGACUUAAAUUUUUAUGUUUUUGUAGUUGCAUACUAUUUGAACUUUCAUCUUGUCUUGUUUUAUGGUUGGUUUCAGUUCUUUCAUUUCUUUGUUCAAAUUAUAGCUGGACUAGUUUGCAUUAUGGAUCAGUGUUUACAUAUAGCUGGACUAAUUUUCUUUAUGAAUCGGCCUUUAUAUAUGGUUGAGGUGUUUAGGAUUGGUGCACUUGUUGCUACUCUAUAUUUAUGUAAAAUCAGAAUCUUCACUAUGGGAACUAAAUUAUGGCUGUUGUUUUCUCAUGGAUGUUCACAAUUAUAUUAAAAAUUCAUGUUAUUUAAAGUUCAAACUUGGUAGAAACACUCAUAUCCUAGUUUAAUGCAAAACCAUCCAAUAAUUUGCCUAAAACAAUUGAAAAUUUUUAGCGUAUAUCUUUUAGCAUACCCAUAAUAUAUGAUUGAAGUGUGUGCAAAGUGAAAUGUUGAACCAGAAUCAGUUCUCUUAGUUUAAUUUAAAAACCAGAAGCAUAUAUCUGUUAGUUUAAUUUCAGUUCUGCAAUUUUGGUUCUGGUUCUACAGUACUGAAAUUCAACCAACCAGCAUUUUGCAGUUUAUAAUGCAUUUUCUAGUUCUGCCAGAGUUGCAAAAUGUAGGUUUGGGUUCUGCAAUUGUGCAUAAGGUUCUGUGGUUAAUGAAGAGCUGCAGCAUACAUUCUGCAGCUUGUAGUUCUGUAGUUAUGCAGACUACAGUUCUGCAGUUCCCAUUCCGUAGAGCACAUUUAUAUAUAUAAAAGUUCUUGACCUUCUUCUGUAUGUGAUUAUGAUGUUUUAUGGGCAAGAAUAGAGAGUCAUACUUUUUGGGGAGUAUAAUGUUAAUAUCAUUUUGUAAUGCUCUAAGCUCUUGUAUAUACAAAAGAAUUAGCUUAACUUUCUUUAUUAUGAAUGUUAGAUUAAAAUGCUAUUGAAUAUUAUUGUAUUUUCAUCAUUAAAAGAUUAUGGUUCAUUAAUAAUAUAUACUUAAUGAAGUUGGAUCUAUGUUUUUUCCAGUUCAGAAGUGUGGUCCUUGUGAAGUGCAAGAACCGGAAAUGAGUUUGGUGUUUUAGAUUGUGAUGAAAAAAAGAGGAUAAAAUGGUUGUGAAACAUGAGUUGGGGAGAUCUGAAUGGAAUUCUUUUGACUCUUACUAUUCCUCAAUCGCUUCACUCUUUUCAAGAGGGGAGCUGCCGGAAGCCUGCAGACUAGCAAAGGAGAUUCUUUUGGGUUGUCCUAAAUUGGAGCAUACUUUCCCUUUAAUGUAGGACAUGAGCCCAUGCUUUUGCCAUUGAGGUGCGUUUCAACUCAUAAAAACACUACUUAGCAUUCUUUUGUUUUUUUUUUUUUUUAAUAUUAUUUUCUUAGAUCGUUUUAAUUCCCCUUUUUAUAACAGUAGAAUUUAUGUAAUUCUUUUUUCUUUAUUUGCUUUGUUGUAAGACUGAAAUUAAGCAAACAUCUUUAUGCAGGAGCUUUUAUAAACAUCACAUAUGAAGUUUAUCAAUAUUUGGUCAAAGAACUCCUUAGGUUAGCUCAAAAUAGAUGGUGGAUUCCUAAAGUCCAGAGUGGUAUGUUGUAAUAAACACAUCACUGAAUCAAUUGCUUCUUACCUUUUAAUAUUUAUUUCUGUAUAAAAUAUCUAUAAUUUUCAAUGGAUUAACCUUUCUCUUAUAAAUUGAGAAUAGGGCUUGAUUUCAC
rnacentral:lncRNA from 1 species